rnacentral:rRNA from 1 species
CGGACGGGUGAGUAAUGUCUGGGAAACUGCCCGAUGGAGGGGGAUAACUACUGGAAACGGUGGCUAAUACCGCAUAACGUCGCAAGACCAAAGAGGGGGACCUUAGGGCCUCUUGCCAUCGGAUGUGCCCAGAUGGGAUUAGCUAGUAGGUGGGGUAAUGGCUCACCUAGGCGACGAUCCCUAGCUGGUCUGAGAGGAUGACCAGCCACACUGGAACUGAGACACGGUCCAG